UGGAAUGCGAUUUUGUUAAUAAAAAAAAUACUUAUAACUGAUGCAAAACCCAAGAGAGGCAUUUAUAUUUAUUUCUUUUGCGUUCAUUUUCAAAUUCGCCGUGCAUAUAUUUUUGUGCAUGGCGCUUGAGAGGGCAUCACGUGACUAAAAACGACCAACCAACGACCUCGCUUCGGCCAUCUUGGCAUCUUCAUCUUGGCGACCUUGCCUUGCCGUGGAUUGUUUUUAGUUGUUUGUAUUAUUUGUGCUUUUUAAGAAUAUUUUUUUAAUUCGGAUACUUUUAUAAUAGCUUUAAUAGUAUUAUUAACAUAGUGCAUAAAAUGGUGUCCUGUUUUUAACGCAGUUGGAGUAGCAGAAACAAAUGUAGAUAAAAAAAUCUGCAGGAAUAACGUUUCAAUUAUGACAGAAGCCAUAGCCACCUUUACUUUACGGUGGCUAUGCAGAAGCUCAAAACAAAUGACUGUGAAUGAAAAGCCCUAUUAAAAGCUUUCCAGAAGAUCCUGCGAAGAAGACAUGAAGUAUAGAUCAGAUUUGUUAAUAGAGGAGUAUGUUCAAAACACUUUUUAGAAAAAGAUAUUGACAGAACUUCACUUUCAUCUGUUCGUUUGAGAGACUGUGCUGUUCCAAUAGCUUAUGUCACACAGAAUCAGCUGAGAGAAGUGGUCUACAAAAAACCAGAAAGGAAACGGAAUAUGUGGCUACGAAAAGCAAAAGAAAGGUUUACAAAGCAAAUGUGACACAUUUUUUUAUAAUAUUUAGGAAUGUCAGCAAAUUACAUUAAAAAAUGUAUAUAAAGAUUUUUUGCAAUAAAAAUGUUUAUAUUUA